GCGUCCCUGCGCUGUGCGUGAUGCCGGGGGAAGGUUUCAACCUCGUUGUCACAACGGGAGCCGUCGUAGAGGGUGGUGUGCAAGCCCCUCUCGAAGGGGAAGCCUGAAGCCCUCGGGAUCACGGCGCCCACCUGGCCUACCAGGUUCGAAACACCGUCGGCACACGGCAGAGGUGGGGAUGCU
rnacentral:other from 1 species